AUCAAGAAAGGCCAGAUACGACA
rnacentral:siRNA from 1 species